CGAGGCUACUGAGGCAGAGAUUAUAAGUGGAUCAAGAGACAAUUGAAUACAUCUUCUGGGAAAAGAAGAGAUUACAGAAUAUGAUGAGAAACUGUGACACUGACAAGAAAGAAGAGGUAAAGACAAUUGAAUACUUUGAAGCAGGAAGUUCAUUUGAUUACGUUCCAAGGAUUGACUGAAGGAGAUCUGACGUAAAAGGGUACUGUAAAGUUAUUCUGGUGAAUCAGGGAGAAGAAAUCCUGUUAGAACUGUGAAGAGCUUUGGAUUUUAAACGCAAGAUUGCAUGUCUACAAUGACGUGGUUCUGUGACAGUGACCUGGAACACCCUCAAGGACAAUAGCAGUGUGUCUCACUCAUCAGGAGGAAAUGGCAUCAAGGAUGAUGGAUGCUACUUCCUCCUUUAUCCCUAACACAUCCUGAGCGUGCCUUCAGCUGUGACUUCUCUCUGUCGCAGCUGUUUGACAGCUGCUGGAGGUUGCUGCUCAUCCUGAGUAGAAACCAAAGUCAAAGACAUAAAAAAGAUGGCUCAGAGGGAACCAAUUACCACCAGCCCAUGGGUUGUGUAUUAAAAAAGUAUUGAUCAGACUUUCUAGCACCUUGACUUCCAGCCAGUGCCUGAAGGCAUGCAUUUCACACUUCCCUCGCAAAGCAACAGUGAAGAGUGUUGGCACAAUUCCAUUGGAUGCUUUGAACCCAACUUAUGACCUGAUUGACCAAAGGGCACAGAACAUUCAGUAAGGUCCAAGGCAGGAGGGGGUGGAGAUAAACACAUACCAAGAAGUCACACCCUCAGUGAAGACUCUCAAUAAAGACUCGCAGCAAGACUCGUGAAGCAACCGAAGAAGACCCAGGAGAAUAUCUGUCCUGACUUGCAAGGCCCAGUUUAAUGGAAGAGAUCCAGCCCUACUUUGGAAAGGAAGGAGAUUCCAACAGCCCAGCUCAAACACGUUGAUUGUUGUGGGUAAUAUUCUUUCUCAGAUGGAUAGAGUAAGAUAGAGAGUAAAUAUU